rnacentral:rRNA from 1 species
UGACGGUACCCUUUCGAAUAAGAGGUUGCUAACUCUGUGCCAGCAGCAGCGGUAAUACAGAGACCUCGAGCGUUAUCCGGAUUUACUGGGCGUAAAGCGUCUGUAGGGGGUUUGUUAAGUUCCAAGUAAAAUCUUAAGGCUCAACUUUAAGUUCGCUUGGAAAACUAAUAAACUGGAGUCCAGCAGAGGUGCAUGGAACUUGCGGUGUAGGAGUGAAAUCCGUUGAUAUCGCAAGGAACACCAAAGGCGAAGGCAUUGCACUGGGCUGGUACUGACCCUGAGAGACGAAAGCGUGGGGAGCAAAACGGAUUAGAUACCCGUGUAGUCCACGCCGUAAACGAUGGAUACUAGAUGUUCGGGGAUUCGACCCCCUGGGUGUCACAGCUAACGCGUUAAGUAUCCCGCCUGGGAAGUACGGCCGCAAGGCUAAAACUCAAAGGAAUAGACGGGGAUCCGCACAAGCGGUGGAGCGUCUGGUUUAAUUUGAUAGUAAGCAAUGGACCUCACCAAGGUUUGACAUCCUAUGACAACCCUGGAAACAGGGCUUCCUUCGGGCAUAGUGACAGGUGCUGCAUGGUCGUCGUCAGUUCGUGCCGUGAGGUGUUCCGUUAAGUCGGGAAACGAACGAAACCCUCGUCGCAUGUUACAAAUUUCAUGCGAGACUGCCCGGGUCAACCGGGAGGAAGGCGGGGAUGACGUCAGAUCAGCAUUGCCCUUAUACCUUGGGCUACACAGGCGCUACAAUGGCCGGUACAAAGGGUUGCAAAACCGCGAGGUGAAGCUAAUCCCAUAAAGCCGGUCCAAGUUCGGAUUGGAGGCUGCAACUCGCCUCCAUGAAGUUGGAAUCGCUAGUAAUCGUGGAUCAGCCAUACCACGGUGAUACGUUCCCGGAUCUUGUACUCACCGCCCGUCACACCAAGAGAGUUGGUAGCUCCUGAAGCGUCGCAUUAG